CAUAUUUUUCUCAACUUUCCAUAGAUUAGCCUCUCCACUAGACUCUGUUCCCUGAAGAUAAUAUAAUCCCUGAUGAUAUUUCCCUGAGAUAACCUUUUUAUCAUCCUUGUAGAAAUUAACCCUAAGAUCCUUGCCUUCAUAUCGACAGCCUGAUGUUUCCAACAUUCCAUAAGAUAUCAAAUUUCUGCUCAUGCCUGGAAUGUAUCUCACCCCU
rnacentral:lncRNA from 1 species